rnacentral:lncRNA from 1 species
UAAAAUAUGCAACACAAUGAGAAAAUCAAAAGAAAAAAAAAUCAAAAAAAUGAAAAAUCAAUUAACCAAGUAAUAAAAAUAUUUGAAAAGUGAAAUAAAAUCAAGAGUUUAAAAGAAAUAAAAUGUAAAAUGAUUUGGAAAAGAAAUUAAAGCAAAAAACUGAAAGAAAGUAAGUAAAAUAUAGAAAAAACAAGACAGAGGGGGUGUAUGGACAAGUUUUU